rnacentral:tRNA from 1 species
GCGGGAGUAGCUCAGUUGGUAGAGCAUCACCUUGCCAAGGUGAGGGUCGCGGGUUCGAGUCCCGUUUCCCGCU